UGGUGGGGACUCAUAGGAGACUGCCGGGGUCAACUCGGAGGAAGGUGGGGAUGACGUCAAAUCAUCAUGCCCCUUAUGUCUUGGGCUUCACGCAUGCUACAAUGGCCGGUACAAAGGGCUGCGAUACCGCGAGGUGGAGCGAAUCCCAAAAAACCGGUCUCAGUUCGGAUUGGGGUCUGCAACUCGACCCCAUGAAGUCGGAGUCGCUAGUAAUCGCAGAUCAGCAACGCUGCGGUGAAUACGUUCCCGGGCCUUGUACACACCGCCCGUCAAGUCACGAAAGUCGGUAACACCCGAAGCCGGUGGCCCAACUCUUUGA
rnacentral:rRNA from 1 species